rnacentral:rRNA from 1 species
AACGACUCUCGACAACGGAUAUCUCGGCUCUCGCAUCGAUGAAGAACGUAGCGAAAUGCGAUACUUGGUGUGAAUUGCAGAAUCCCGUGAACCAUCGAGUCUUUGAACGCAAGUUGCGCCCGAAGCCACUUGGCUGAGGGCACGCCUGCCUGGGUGUCACGCA